AUAAUAUUGAGGGAUGGAAACAUCCCAAAAUCUGACAUUGUGGUAUAAAUGAAAGAAAUCUUGGGUUUAAAGAUGAUGUUUUUGAAAAAAGGCAUCGACCCAAAACUUUUUAUCAACUCUUUAAUAUUUGACUGAAAUUAUCAAGUAAUCGAAAGAUUAAAAAAGUUUAAA
rnacentral:misc_RNA from 1 species